AUUAAGUGACCCUCAUUUAACAUAUCAACACUUGGUAAGUGGGUCGUUAUUAUUUUCCUAUUAAAGUCUAGGUGAAGUAAAUAACAAAAGGGAGAGAAAAGAAAGGCACUCUCCCUUGGGAAAUCUUUCCAGCAAAGGAAAAUAACCAUCAAGUACUUUCUGCCUCACUUCUUCAGAGGAUUCACGUGAGGAGAACUCAAAAGUUGAUCAAUAAUUCUCAGGAAUAACGGGCGUACAGUGGCCAUAUCUCAUAGACAACUAUCCAUCAUUAUUCAAGAAUUUUGGAAAUUUAUCAAGAGUUCAAGUUGAAAUUUGAUUUCAAUUAGUAAAUUUGUUGCCUAUUGGAUGAUAAAAGGUAAUAGUGGGCUAUGUAAAGGCUACACCCUCGCAGGUCGAGUUGUUGGAGACAUGUGGUACUACCAUUAACUAGGAAGGUACCAAAGUACCGGGUUUACAGGCUAGCAGGCUUCCAUGUUAGGAACCCACUACAUAUUCAACAAGCAGUUGGAUCCGACGAUCACAUUCAUCCUCCACCCACUUGUGGCUAGUGCUUGUUAUUGUCUUGUGUUGGAAAAUUACGUCAUGCGCGAGAUUGGGCUAUAUUGUUGAGUGUUUGCUGAAAAUUCACUGAAGUUGGUGUCCACGAGUGCCACCACGGGCCGUAAAUCCUUAUACGACCCAUGAAAGCUGGCCGUUAAAAAGAGAUGUUGAAAAAAGGAGCAAAAAAAAUUUAGCCAAGUAAAACUCCACGAGACCCUUGACGGGGUAUAGAGUUCAUCAUGGAUCACGGUAGGGGGUCGUGAAGAGCAUGAUGAAGACUGCCUGUAAAGUUCAAGUAAAAUCCCAUAAACCCCACCACGGAUCGUGAAGAUUUCCCGUGAAGAAGAAGAGGACCACAUAGUUGUGGAGCCAAGUCAAUUACCACGGAGAACUUUCAUGGGAUGUGAACAACACUACGAGCCAUGAAGAGUGUAUAUGAACCAGUGUUGACUUAAGUUUUUCUA